UAAUUAUAUACCUUGCUGUGACUUUAAAGCUGUCAAAGAGACUGCUGAAGGAUAAAGAAAACCUGUGGAACAUGGGAUGUGCCAUAUUAUAUAAAAAAGAAUUGAAUGAUCCUCAUAUAAAGAUGAAUGGCCAGGCCGCAGUGAAAUGGCAGAAUGCUAGGCCUAACACGAGCCUCUGGAUGGGUGACCCCUGUCAUGCUUAUGAGGCAGGGAAGUCAACCGCAUCGAACUGCCAUUGAAGCAGGAAGGAAAUUGCAACGUAACUGGCUAAGCAGAAGACAUUGAGGGGACUGCAGUGAGGAAGGGGCUACUGGCGAGUGAACAGAAUGCUGGCAGGAAGGUAACAUAAUUGGCCAGUAAAAAUAAGUGAAAAAGAGUAAGGGUAUAAAAGGGUAGAGCCAUGAGGCCCUGACGGGGGAAGUUCGAACCGUAACUUCCAGCGUCAAAGGGCCCGCGAA
rnacentral:lncRNA from 1 species